rnacentral:rRNA from 1 species
CCCUGAAAGAUGAUCAGGUUGAUAGGUCUGAGGUGGAAGUGUGGCGACACAUGGAGCUGACAGAUACUAAUCGAUCGAGGACUUAACCACAUUU